CCUACGGGGGGCAGCAGUGGGGGAUAUUGCACAAUGGGGGGAACCCUGAUGCAGCGACGCCGCGUGGGUGAAGGAGCGUUUCGGCGCGUAAAGCCCUAUCGGCAGGGAAGAAGAUGACGGUACCUGACCAAGAAGCCCCGGCUAACUACGUGCAAGGGGCCGCGGUAAUACGGAGGGGGCAGGCGUUAUCGGGAUUUACUGGUUGUAAGGGGGGCGCAGCCGGAAAUGCAAGCCGGGAGUGAAAGCCCGGGGCCAAACCCGGGAACUGCUCUUGGAACUGCAUGGCUGGAGUACAGAAGGGGCAGGCGGAAUUCCUGGUGUAGCGGUGAAAUGCGUAGAUAUUAGGCGGAACACCGGUUGCGAAGGCGGCCUGCUAGACCGUGACUGACGUUGAGGCCCGAAGGCGUGGGGAGCAAACAGGAUUAGAUACCCUUGUAGUC
rnacentral:rRNA from 1 species